GACGAACGCUGGCGGCGUGCUUAACACAUGCAAGUCGAACGGGAUUUAGUAUACAGAAGCUUCGGUGGAAGAUGAAUAAUGAGAGCGGCGAACGGGGGAGUAACGCGUGAGCAACCUAACUAUGACAGGGGGAUAGCCCGGGGAAACCGGGAUUAAUACCGCAUACAUUCAUAGAAACACAUGUUGCAACGGAUAAAGAUGUAUCGGUCAUAGAUGGGCUCGCGGCUGAUUAGCUAGUUGGUGAGAUAACAGCCCACCAAGGCGACGAUCAGUAGCCGGUCUGAGAGGAUGAACGGCCACAUUGGAACUGAGACACGGUCCAAACUCCUACGGGAGGCAGCAGUGGGGAAUAUUGCACAAUGGGGGAAACCCUGAUGCAGCGACGCCGCGUGAACGAAGAAGGUAUUCGUAUCGUAAAGUUCUGUCCUAUGGGAAGAUAAUGACAGAACCAUAGAAGAAAGCUCCGGCUAAAUACGUGCCAGCCGCCGCGGUAA
rnacentral:rRNA from 1 species